UGGGGAAUCUUCCGCAAUGGACGAAAGUCUGACGGAGCAACGCCGCGUGAGUGAUGACGGCCUUCGGGUUGUAAAGCUCUGUUAAUCGGGACGAAUGGUUCUUGUGCGAAUAGUGCGAGGAUUUGACGGUACCGGAAUAGAAAGCCACGGCUAACUACGUGCCAGCAGCCGCGGUAAUACGUAGGUGGCAAGCGUUGUCCGGAAUUAUUGGGCGUAAAGCGCGCGCAGGCGGAUUGGUCAGUCUGUCUUAAAAGUUCGGGGCUUAACCCCGUGAUGGGAUGGAAACUGCCAAUCUAGAGUAUCGGAGAGGAAAGUGGAAUUCCAAGUGUAGCGGUGAAAUGCGUAGAUAUUAGGAAGAACACCAGUGGCGAAGGCGACUUUCUGGACGAAAACUGACGCUGAGGCGCGAAAGCCAGGGGAGCGAACGGG
rnacentral:rRNA from 1 species